rnacentral:rRNA from 1 species
UACGAAGGGGGCUAGCGUUGCUCGGAAUUACUGGGCGUAAAGCGUGCGCAGGCGGUUAUGUAAGACAGUUGUGAAAUCCCCGGGCUUAACCUGGGAAUGGCAUUUGGGACUGCAAGGCUUGAGUGCGGCAGAGGAGACUGGAAUUCCUGGUGUAGCAGUGAAAUGCGUAGAUAUCAGGAGGAACACCGAUGGCGAAGGCAGGUCUCUGGGCUGACACUGACGCUCAUGCACGAAAGCGUGGGGAGCAAACAGG